rnacentral:rRNA from 1 species
GACGAACGCUGGCGGCGUGCUUAACACAUGCAAGUCGAGCGGUAAGGCCCCUUCGGGGGUACACGAGCGGCGAACGGGUGAGUAACACGUGGGUGACCUGCCCUCAGCUCUGGGAUAAGCCUGGGAAACUGGGUCUAAUACCGGAUAUGACUCCAUGACGCAUGUCGUGGGGUGGAAAGCCUUGUGCGGCUGGGGAUGGGCCCGCGGCCUAUCAGCUUGUUGGCGGGGUGANGGCCUACCAAGGCGACGACGGGUAGCCGGCCUGAGAGGGCGACCGGCCACACUGGGACUGAGACACGGCCCAGACUCCUACGGGAGGCAGCAGUGGGGAAUCUUGCGCAAUGGGCGAAAGCCUGACGCAGCGACGCCGCGUGAGGGAUGACGGCCU